rnacentral:rRNA from 1 species
GUGGGGAAUAUUGGACAAUGGGCGAAAGCCUGAUCCAGCCAUGCCGCGUGUGUGAAGAAGGUCUUCGGAUUGUAAAGCACUUUAAGUUGGGAGGAAGGGCAGUAAGUUAAUACCUUGCUGUUUUGACGUUACCGACAGAAUAAGCACCGGCUAACUUCGUGCCAGCAGCCGCGGUAAUACGAAGGGUGCAAGCGUUAAUCGGAAUUACUGGGCGUAAAGCGCGCGUAGGUGGCUUUGUAAGUUAGAGGUGAAAUCACCGGGCUCAACCUGGGAACUGCCUCCAAAACUGCAUGACUAGAGUACGGUAGAGGGUAGUGGAAUUUCCUGUGUAGCGGUGAAAUGCGUAGAUAUAGGAAGGAACACCAGUGGCGAAGGCGACUACCUGGACUGAUACUGACACUGAGGUGCGAAAGCGUGGGGAGCAAACAGGAUUAGAAACCCUAGUAGUCC